rnacentral:rRNA from 1 species
GAUGAACGCUGGCGGCGUGCUUAACACAUGCAAGUCGAACGGAAAGGCUCCUGCUUGCAGGGGUACUCGAGUGGCGAACGGGUGAGUAACACGUGGGUGAUCUGCCCUGCACUUCGGGAUAAGCCUGGGAAACUGGGUCUAAUACCGGAUAGGACGAUGGUUUGGAUGCCAUUGUGGAAAGUUUUUCGGUGUGGGAUGAGCUCGCGGCCUAUCAGCUUGUUGGUGGGGUAAUGGCCUACCAAGGCGUCGACGGGUAGCCGGCCUGAGAGGGUGUACGGCCACCUUGGGACUGAGAUACGGCCCAGACUCCUACGGGAGGCAGCCGUGGGGAAUAUUGCACAAUGGGCGCAAGCCUGAUGCAGCGACGCCGCGUGGGGGAUGACGGCCUUCGGGUUGUAAACUCCUUUCGCUAGGGACGAAGCGUUUUGUGACGGUACCUGGAGAAGAAGCACCGGCUAACUACGUG